rnacentral:rRNA from 1 species
AGCUCCAAUAGCGUAAAUUAAAGUUGUUACGGUUAAAAAGCUCGUAGUUGGAUUUCUGCCGAGGACGGCCGGUCCGCCCUCUGGGUGAGUAUCUAGCUCGGCCUGAGCAUCUCCUUGGAGAACGUAGCUGCACUUGGCUGUGUGAUGCGGUAUCCAGGACUUUUACUUCUAAGGAAACUAGAGUGUUUCAAGCAGGCACACGCCUUGAAUACAUUAGCAUGGAAUAGUAAGAUGGGACCUCGGUUCUAUUUUGUUGGUUUCUAGGGCUGGGGUGAUGAUUAAUAAAGAUAGUUGGGGGCAUUCGUAUUUAAGUGUCAGAAGUGGAAUUCUUGGAUUUGUUAAAGACGGACUACUGCGAAAGCAUUUGCCAAGGAUGUUUUCA